GACACGGGCGGUUUUGCGGUCCGGUCGGUCGACCCAAUUAUGCAUGCGAUACAAGCAAGCCCUAGCGGCCCCCAUCUUGACAUCGCGAUGGCCGUCUUCGUUCUCCGCCGCCCUACCUAACGCAACGAUCGCAAUGGAGACCGUCGACGAACGGGCGGGACGAAGGACCGCGUGGCACCUUUCGGCGGUGUGGUGAAUAGCUUUCGCAUAGUGGCUAUUUAGCGAGAAAAAUAUCUUUGAUGAAAUGCUUGGAUAGAAUUGAAGUAUGAUGUGAGGCAGUUCAUCCAGAUUGAGAAAGAAUAAACCAAACAGGACCGGCUGUUUGAUUCAGCUUUGCCUGGUUCUAAUCAAAGAUCAGAAAGGGUACGAUACAGUUGUAGGGUCAACCAUAAACUGAACCUCACCAGGUUCGUUCUGGUUCUAAGAGUCAUUUGCUUCUGAAGUGCACCUCUACAGAGCUGAUCCUAUCCCAUUAGAAAUGGAAGACCCACCAAUCAUUUCAUCAGAAAUCACUAAUGCCAAGUCACGAAAGAAGAAACCAUUGAAGCAAA